CCUACGGGUGGCAGCAGUGAGGAAUAUUGGUCAAUGGGCGGGAGCCUGAACCAGCCAAGUCGCGUGAGGGAAGACGGUCCUAUGGAUUGUAAACCUCUUUAGGCGGGGAGCAAUGCCGGGCACGUGUGCCCGGAGGGAGAGUACCCGCAGAAUAAGCAUCGGCUAACUCCGUGCCAGCAGCCGCGGUAAGACGGAGGAUGCGAGCGUGAUCCGGAUUGAUUGGGUUUAAAGGGUGCGUAGGCGGAUUUUUAAGUCAGCGGUAAAAUGUCGGGGCUCAACCCGGGCCGGCCGUUGAAACUGGGGGUCUUGAGUGGGCGAGAGGUAUGCGGAAUGCGUGGUGUAGCGGUGAAAUGCAUAGAUAUCACGCAGAACUCCGAUUGCGAAGGCAGCAUACCGGCGCCCGACUGACGCUGAGGCACGAAAGCGUGGGGAUCGAACAGGAUUAGAUACCCCUGUAGUC
rnacentral:rRNA from 1 species